CACCAGACUCCUACGGGAGGCAGCAGUGAGGAAUAUUGGUCAAUGGGCGAGAGCCUGAACCAGCCAAGUCGCGUGAAGGAUGACGGCCCUACGGGUUGUAAACUUCUUUUGUCAGGGAGCAAUUGGGUCCACGCGUGGGCUUAGCGAGAGUACCUGAAGAAAAAGCAUCGGCUAACUCCGUGCCAGCAGCCGCGGUAAUACGGAGGAUGCGAGCGUUAUCCGGAUUUAUUGGGUUUAAAGGGUGCGUAGGCGGAAUAUCAAGUCAGCGGUAAAAUCGUGGAGCUCAACUCCAUCCAGCCGUUGAAACUGGCGUUCUUGAGUGGGCGAGAAGUAUGCGGAAUGCGUGGUGUAGCGGUGAAAUGCAUAGAUAUCACGCAGAACUCCGAUUGCGAAGGCAGCAUACCGGCGCCCAACUGACGCUGAAGCACGAAAGCGUGGGUAUCGAACAGGAUUAGAUACCCUAGUA
rnacentral:rRNA from 1 species